UCUUCGGAAACCUCACUCGGACCGCUCAGUAACACGUGGAUAACCUACCCUUGGGACUGGAAUAACCCCGGGAAACUGGGGAUAAUACCGGAUAGAUCAGGGAUGCUGGAAUGCACCUUGAUCCAAAGCUCCGGCGCCCAAGGAUGGGUCUGCGGCCUAUCAGGUAGUAGUGGGUGUAACGUACCUACUAGCCAACGACGGGUACGGGUUGUGAGAGCAAGAGCCCGGAGAUGGAUUCUGAGACACGAAUCCAGGCCCUACGGGGUGCAGCAGGCGCGAAACCUUUACAAUGUGCGAAAGCAUGAUAAGGGAACUCCGAGUGCCAGUAUCUAAUACUGGCUGUCCUUGUGCCUAAAACGCACAAGAUAGCAAGGGCCGGGUAAGACCGGUGCCAGCCGCCGCGGUAACACCGGCGGCCCGAGUGGUAGCCGCUAUUAUUGGGUCUAAAGGGUCCGUAGCCGGUUCGAUAAGUCCUCUGGGAAAUCUGGUUGCUUAACAAUCAGACUGCCAAGGGAUACUGUCGAACUUGAGACCGGGAGAGGUAAGAGGUACUUCAGGGGUAGGAGUGAAAUCUUGUAAUCCCUGGGGGACCAUCUGUGGCGAAGGCGUCUUACCAAAACGGGUCUGACGGUGAAGGACGAAAGCUGGGGGCGCAAACCGGAUUAAAUACCCGGGUAGUCCCAGCCGUAAACGAUGCUCGCUAUGUGUCAGGUACGGUGUGACCGUAUCUGGUGCCGUAGGGAAGCCGUGAAGCGAGCCACCUGGGAAGUACGGCCGCAAGGCUGAAACUUAAAGGAAUUGGCGGGGGAGCACUACAACGGGUGGAGCCUGCGGUUUAAUUGGAUUCAACGCCGGAAAUCUUACCGGGGGAGACAGCAGCAUGAAGGUCAGGCUGAAGACCUUACCAGAUCCGCUGAGAGGAAGUGCAUGGCCGUCGUCAGUUCGUACUGUGAAGCAUCCUGUUAAGUCAGGCAACGAGCGAGACCCGUGCCCACAGUUGCCAGCAUACCCUUCGGGGUGAUGGGUACUUUGUGGGGACCGCCGCUGCUAAAGCGGAGGAAGGAGCGGGUUACGGUAGGUCAGUAUGCUCCGAAACUCCCGGGCUACACGCGGGCUACAAUGGUUGGGACAAUGGGAAUCA
rnacentral:rRNA from 1 species